GCCGGGCGCAGUGGCUCACGCCUGUAAUCCCAGCACUUUGGGAGGCCGAGGCGGGUGGAUCACCUGAGGUCAGGAGUUCAAGACCAGCCUGACCAACAUGGAGAAACCUCGUCUCUACUAAAAAUACAAAAUUAGCUGGGCGUGGUGGCGCAUGCCUAUAAUCCCAGCUACUCAGGAGGCUGAGGCAGGAGAACUGCUUGAGCCUGGGAGGCGGAGGUUGUGGUGAGCCGAGAUCGUGCCAUUGCACUCCAGCCUGGGCAACAAGAGUGAAACUCCGCCUCA
rnacentral:sRNA from 1 species